rnacentral:rRNA from 1 species
UAGCGGAGGAAAAGAACCAACAGGGAUUGCCCCAGUAACGGCGAGUGAAGCGGCAACAGCUCAAAUUUGAAAUCUGGCCCCCCCGGCCCGAGUUGUAAUUUGCAGAGGAUGCUUUUGGUGAGGCACCCACCGAGUCCCCUGGAAUGGGGCGCCAUAGAGGGUGAGAGCCCCGUAUGGUAGGACGCCGAACCUCUGUAAAGCUCCUUCGACGAGUCGAGUAGUUUGGGAAUGCUGCUCUAAAUGGGAGGUAAAUUUCUUCUAAAGCUAAAUACCGGCCAGAGACCGAUAGCGCACAAGUAGAGUGAUCGAAAGAUGAAAAGCACUUUGAAAAGAGGGUUAAAAAGUACGUGAAAUUGUUGAAAGGGAAGCGCUUGUGACCAGACUUGCGCCGGGCGGAUCAUCCAGCGUUCUCGCUGGUGCACUCCGCCCGGUUCAGGCCAGCAUCGGUUUUCGCCGGGGGACAAAGGCUUCGGGAACGUGGCUCCUCUCGGGGAGUGUUAUAGCCCGUUGCGUAAUACCCCGGCGGGGACCGACGACCGCGCUUCGGCAAGGAUGCUGGCGUAAUGGUCAUCAGCGACCCGUCUUGAAACACGGACCGAGGAGUCAAGCAUUAGUGCGAGUGUUUGGGUGUAAAACCCGCACGCGUAAUGAAAGUGAACGUAGGUGAGAGCUUCGGCGCAUCAUCGACCGAUCCUGAUGUUUUCGGAAGGAUUUGAGUAGGAGCAUUAACGCUUGGACCCGAAAGAUGGUGAACUAUACUUGAAUAGGGUGAAGCCAGAGGAAACUCUGGUGGAGGCUCGCAGCGGUUCUGACGUGCAAAUCGAUCGUCAAAUUUGAGUAUAGGGGCGAAAGACUAAUCGAACCAUCUAGUAGCUGGUUUCAGCC